UUCCUACAAGAUAAUCCAUUACCUUUGCAUUGCUUUUAGAAAAGGGAAUUGUGUGCAAAUCACAAACUGUCCCCGCAACUGUAAAUCACCACCAUUGAAACUGCAAUACAACCACUGAGAAAUCGGGAAGGUGCAGUUUUGUGAAAGUCAGGAGACCUUACUGAAAGUAUUAACAUAU
rnacentral:ncRNA from 2 species